rnacentral:tRNA from 2 species
AUUCCUGUAGUUGAAUUACAACGGUGGUUCUUCAAGUCAUUGGUCUCGGUUAGUAUCCGAGUGGGAAUU